AUCGGACGCUGGCGGCAGGCUUAACACAUGCAAGUCGAGCGGAGAUGAGGUGCUUGCACCUUAUCUUAGCGGCGGACGGGUGAGUAAUGCUUAGGAAGCUGCCUAUUAGCGGGGGACAACAUUCCGAAAGGAAUGCUAAUACCGCAUACGCCCUACGGGGAAAGCAGGGGAUCUUCGGACCUUGCGCUAAUAGAUGAGCCUAAGUCGGAGUGGCUAGUUGGUGGGGUAAAGGCCUACCAAGGCGACGAUCUGUAGCGGGUCUGGGAGGAUGAUCCGCCACGCUGGGACUGAGACACGGCCCAGACUCCUACGGGAGGCAGCAGUGGGGAGUAUUGGACAAUGGGCGGAAGCCUGAUGCAGCCAUGCCGCGUGUGUGAAGAAGGCCUUUUGGUUGUAAAGCACUUUAAGCGAGGAGGAGGCUACCUGGAUUAAUACUCUAGGAUAGUGGACGUUACUCGCAGAAUAAGCACCGGCUAACUCUGUGCCAGCAGCCGCCGUAAGAC
rnacentral:rRNA from 1 species